AUGUCCGCGUCGGCCAUCGUCGCCAAGGCCGCGUCCGGGUCGCACGUCCUCAAGAUCGACGGCUACUCCCGCACCAAGGGACUCGGAGCCGGCAAAUUCAUCACGUCGAGGUCGUUCCUAGUCGGAGGCCAUCGCUGGUGCCUGCGAUACUACCCCGACAGUCAUUACAACACAACAGCCUAUGAUAACUGUAUAUCCAUCGUACUCUGUCUUGAUCCCAGCGAGGCCGGCGAAGUCAGCUUGCUUGACGAAGAAGGCCACCCAGUGCCCCGCUACGUCCGGGAAAUACGUCCGUGCUGGACACUCUCCGGAAAACGAGAGCCACCCGUUUCCAAGCUCUUCGUCACUAAGGCAGAACUGGAGAAUUCACUUUACCUGAAGGAUCAAGGAUGA
rnacentral:rRNA from 1 species